rnacentral:lncRNA from 1 species
AAUUUUGCAACAAUUAUUUGGGAGGUCCUUCACAAAAAAACCUCCUUUUGGGCACUCGAAAAAUGGAAAAUGGUUUUUCCGUCCAAAGAAAAUGAAAACUUCCUUAGGCUAUAUUGUUUUCCAUUCCAAUAUGCACCCAUGUGCACAAUAUGAGAUCAUUUGAACAAACUAUGCCAUGAAUGUGGCCAUAAGAUUGAUCAUUUGGCUUGAAAGCCAUUGAUCUCCACACGUGAUAGCUCGUUUCUGAGAACACUUUUUUAAAAAAAUUACCGUAUUACAAGUUUUUUAUUUUUCCUGGGAACUUGGCCACAUAUAAUGACACAAUGCAAAGGUUUCCCAAUUAUUUGAUUUUUUUUGAAUUUUUUAUGCCCGUUUCAAAAUGCGGUCAAAACGGCGGGAAUGACUGUUCCUAGCUAGUGGUUGAAUCUCGGAAUUUUUUUGGUGUUUCUCUGAUUAAAUAGAUACUUAUGUACCUAGAAAUGAUUUUUAAAAAAAUAAAGACAAACUAUAAGGCAGCUACAAUUCAAAUUUGACCCGCUUCCAACUGAAUCGGCGCAAAUUUGUCUUUUUCAUGAGAGGUGGAUAAAAACUUUUUACACCCAACCAUUUGGUCAAUUGUGCAUUAAAUAUGGCCUAGUAUUUUAGAAAAAUGAUUUGGUCCAAUUUUGCAACAAUUAUUUGGGAGGCCCUUCACAAAAAAACCUCUUUUUGGGCACUCGAAAAAUGGAAAAUGGUUUUUUCGUCCAAAGAAAAUGAAACCUUCCUUAGGCAACAUUGUUUGCCAUUCCAAUAUGCACCCUUGUGCACAAUAUGAGAUCAUUUGAAUAAACUGUGCCAUGAAUGUGGCCAUAAGAUUGAUCAUUUGGCUUGAAAGCCAUUGAUCUCCACACGUGAUAGCUCGUUUCUCAGAACACUUUUUAAAAUAAUUGACGUAUUACAAGUUUGUUAUUUUUCCUGGGAACUUGGCCACAUAUAAUGACACAAUGCGAAGGUUUCCCAUUUUUUGAUUUUUUUGAAUUUUUUAUGCUCGUUUCAAAAUGCGGUCAAAACGGCGGGAAUGACCGUUCCUAGCUAGUGGUUGAAUCUUAGAAUUUUUUUGGUGUUUCUCUGAUUAAAUAGAUACUUAUGUACCUAGAAAUGAUUUUUGGAAAAAAUAAAGAGCAAAUUACAAGGCAGCUACAGUUCAAAUUUGACCCGCUUCCAACUGAAUCGGCGGAAAUUUAUCUUUUUCACGAGAGGUGCAUCAAAACUUUUUACACCCAACCAUUUGGUCAAUUGUGCAUUAAAUAUGGCCUAGUAUUUUAGAAAAAUGAUUUGGUACAAUUUUGCAACAAUUAUUUGGUAGGUUCUUCACAAAAAAACCUCCUUUUGGGCACUCGAAAAAUGGAAAAUGGUUUUUCCGUCCAAAGAAAAUGAAAACUUCCUUAGGCUAUAUUGUUUUCCAUUCCAAUAUGCACCCAUGUGCACAAUAUGAGAUCAUUUGAACAAACUAUGCCAUGAAUGUGGCCAUAAGAUUGAUCAUUUGGCUUGAAAGCCAUUGAUCUCCACACGUGAUAGCUCGUUUCUGAGAACACUUUUUUAAAAUAAUUGCCGUAUUACAAGUUUUUUAUUUUCUUGGGAACUUGGCCACAUAUAAUGACACAAUGCAAAGGUUUCCCAAUUAUUUGAUUUUUUUGAAUUUUUUAUGCCCGUUUCAAAAUGCG